rnacentral:rRNA from 1 species
GACAGAGGUGCCAAGCGUUAGGCGGAAUCACUGGGCUUAAGGCGUGUGUAGGCGGAUUUGUAAGUACCUUGUGAAAUCCCACGGCUCAACCGUGGAACUGCUCGGUAUACUGCUUAUCUUGAGCCACUUAGGGGCUACCGGAACAAAUGGUGGAGCGGUGAAAUGCGUAGAUAUCAUUUGGAACGCCAAUGGUGAAAACAGGUAGCUGGGAGUGUGCUGACGCUGAGACACGAAAGCCAGGGGAGCGAACGGG